rnacentral:rRNA from 1 species
GUAAAGAGUUAUGUAGGUGGUUUUAUAAGUUAUGGGUUAAAUCCCCCGGCUCAACCGGGAAUCUGCUUGUAAUACUGUAGAACUAGAGAUAAGCAGGGGAAGGUAGAACGCAUGGUGUAGUAGUAAAAUACUUUGAUAUCAUGCGGAAUACUAAAGGCGUAGGCAGCUUCUGGGCUUUAUCUGACACUGAGAUACGAAAGCGUGGGGAGCAAAACGGAUUAGAUACCCGUGUAGUCCACGCUGUAAACGAUGUUCACUAGAUCCGUGUCCCGGUUUUCCGGGGUGCGAGUCGUAGCUAACGCAUUAAGUGAACCGCCUGGGAAUUACGGCCGCAAGGCUAAAACUCAAAGGAAUUGACGGGGACCCGCACAAGCGGUGGAGCGCCUGCUUUAAUUCGAUGAUUACCGAAGAACCUUACCAAGGCUUGACAUGUAUCUGCAUGGCUGCGAAAUCAGCCAGCCUUCGAGGGAGAUACACAGGUAUUGCAUGGCUGUUGUCAGCUCGUGUCGUGAGAUGUACCCUUAAGUGGGGUAACGAGCGCAACCCUUAUGGUUAGUUGUAUCACUCUAACAAGACUGCUCGGGCAACCGAGAGGAAGGAGAGGAUGACAAUAAGUCAGCAUGGUCCUUAUGCCUUGGGCAAGACAGGCGCUACAAUGGCCGGUACAACGGGACGCAACACAGUAAUGUGAAGCAAAUCCCUUAAAGCCGGUCUCAGUUCAGAUUGAGGGCUGAAACUCGCCCUCAUGAAGUUGGAAUCGCUAGUAAUCGUAGGUCAGCUAUACUACGGUGAAUACGUUCUCGGGUCUUGUACACACUGCCCGUCAGGUCAGCAGAGUUGGGAAUACCCGAAGUGCUUCUUUAAUGAGGCCCUAAGGUAGGCUCAAUAAUGAGGAUUAAGUCGUAACAAGGUAACC